AAAGAAGAACAAAUGAACAGUUGAUAAUUUCUGUCUCAUAUUCCACAGCCCAGACAAGUUAUUUGCAAGAGAUUUAUUAGAACUUGAGCCAUUACUGCAACAGGAAUUGUGCUGCAAGGAAAAAUACAAAUUAUCUGUCACUGCUUCUAACAGAGCUGGGAGGGGGAAAAUGCAUGAAUCUAGAAGCUUUAAUUACCUGCAGAAGUGUGAGUUGGUUAUGCAGUGCCUAUUUUAAUUACCAUCUGAUUAAAAUUAAUCUUAGCUAAGAAAGGAGAAAGUGAAAUAAGGAAACUGCAGUCUGAAGGUUAAUGUUCCAAAUGUCACCAAAUGCAGACGAGUAAAGAAGAGAAGAUUGGGAUGAAGGGCACGUACGCUAUUGGAAAAGAAAAGCUACUCAUGCUUAGACUGACAGAAAAAACAAUAUCUAGGGUUUAUUCUGCAUUCAAGUAGUCCAGUUUGGCCACAAUUUUAAUCUGGCCCAAGUAAAGAAACUAUACAAGUUUGUGCGUCAGAGACUGCAGAAGGAAAAUGGCAUCUGACUACCAGAGCUCCAUCUUCUGAGAUCCCCUUCUUGGCUUUAUUCCAGUGAAAAAUGCAAGAUCAUAGUUGGCUGCUCAACACUGGCAAGAAGAAGGUGAACAAGGUACUUCCCUGGAAAAAAAUGGAUCUUAGGAAGUAAGUGCAAAAAUGCUCUGCCUAAUGCUCUUACCGUAAGUAAGAAACUGUGCUUUGUCUCUGACAUUGGAGUCUCAUGUCAUCUCCAAGAAUCCAUGACACUGUGACAAGCUAACUUGCAAGUAGGGUAAAAAUCUCGGACCAUUCAAAUUCUUAGCACAAAGAUUACAUAAAGGCAUGAAUACCUGGAGUGCGGGAUCACUGGAGACAAUCUUAAGGGUUGCCUACCACAAUAGCCAUCUCUUUAUUUUCUUACAAUGGAAGAAGAGAAGGACAGAAGAAAGAGAAGAAAUGGGGGAAAAAUCAAUCAUUUACUGAGUUUAUUUCAUGCUCCAGGAAUUUAAACACAAAUUAAUUUCCUUGACGCUUAGCAGAGCAACAAGAAUACAAUAAGACUAC
rnacentral:lncRNA from 1 species